rnacentral:rRNA from 1 species
GCAUAUCAAUAAGCGGAGGAAAAGAAACCAACAGGGAUUGCCCCAGUAACGGCGAGUGAAGCGGCAACAGCUCAAAUUUGAAAUCUGGCSYUCGGGUCCGAGUUGUAAUUUGCAGAGGAUGCUUUGGGCGAGGCGCCGUCCGAGUUCCCUGGAACGGGACGCCGGAGAGGGUGAGAGCCCCGUACGGUCGGAUGCCGAGCCUCUGUAAAGCUCCUUCGACGAGUCGAGUAGUUUGGGAAUGCUGCUCUAAAUGGGAGGUAAAUCUCUUCUAAAGCUAAAUAUUGGCCACAGACCGAUAGCGCACAAGUAGAGUGAUCGAAAGAUGAAAAGCACUUUGAAAAGAGAGUUAAAUAGCACGUGAAAUUGUUGAAAGGGAAGCGCUUGUGACCAGACGUGUGGCGGGUGAAUCAGCCGGCGCUCGCGCCGGUGCACUUUGCCCGCCACAGGCCAGCAUCGGUUCGCCGCUGGGGAGAAAGACGGUGGGAAUGUGGCUCUUCGGAGUGUUAUAGCCCGCCGUGCAAUACCCUCCGGCGGACCGAGGUUCGCGCUCCGCAAGGAUGCUGGCGUAAUGGUCACCAGCGACCCGUCUUGAAACACGGACCAAGGAGUCGUCCUAGUAUGCGAGUGUUUGGGUGCAAAACCCCUACGCGAAAUGAAAGUGAACGGAGGUGAGAGCUUCGGCGCAUCAUCGACCGAUCCUGAUGUCUUCGGAUGGAUUUGAGUAAGAGCAUACUGGGCCGGACCCGAAAGAAGGUGAACUAUGCCUGUAUAGGGUGAAGCCAGAGGAAACUCUGGUGGAGGCUCGCAGCGGUUCUGACGUGCAAAUCGAUCGUCAAAUAUGGGCAUGGGGGCGAAAGACUAAUCGAACCUUCUAGUAGCUGGUUUCCGCCGAAG